AUGCUGGGUUAUUUUUUUGACCCAAUCGCUGGGUUGAGCCUGUUGGGUCAUUUAAUUGGGUUAUUUUUAUUGAGUUGGGUAUUCUGAGAACCCAAUUCGCUGGGUUAUCUCUGUUGGGUGCUGAGUUAUUUGCUGCUGGGUUGUGAUUUCCAUUAUAUUGUGCUGGGUUAUUUUGGACAACCCAAAGCGUUGGGUAGAAUUUUGAACACGCGCAAAAAAGCCCCGCCCACAAACUUACUUCGUUCGGACCCCACAUUUCAUCUGAGGAGACCAAUUUCAGCACAGAGCAAGGUUUGUUACAUGCCCACUAUUGUUUUACCGUAGAAUUGACUUUAUAUUAUUAUAUAAAGCUUCAUAAACUUGUUAAAAUGUAAGUUCGUGAAGCACUGUUGAGUACUAGCUUCAGGAAUGGAUCGGUAACCUUAGCAAACUUCCAUUCCCUCCAAAAGUGGCAAGCGAACACAUUCGCUGGCGAGCUAUGUAGGAACCAAACUAUGUUGUUGAAGUUACAAGAGACGUGCACUAUGUGUGAUAGUUAUGAGGACAACGUCAGUUAUCUCGUCAAUUUGCCAUUUUAUGUGAUAUCAAGUUAAAGAAUCUCGUGAAUUAAUACGAGCGUGCUGAUGAACCGGUGUUUUUUACGCUAGACUGCUGCAUGCUAGCGGGCUUCCGUUAGCCACGGAUAGUCCACUGUAUACUUAGCAGUUUCAACUAGUUUGGGCGCGAAUUCGACGACAGUUUUGUAAGUCGCAUAUAAAUGUAGAGAAUGCGUUUGGACUACUGAAUCUUAUUUCAUUUCAUGGUAUGUUUGUUCUUAUGGACCCUCUUUGUGAUGUUUCAGUUCGCUGAAAAGCAUCUAUGGAUGAGUUUAUCAGUUCCAAAUUGACUGAGUGGCAGCUACCAGGGCUGAUUGAAAGAUGCCAGGGGAGAAGUCGCCCUGACGCUUCUGCCCAUCCUGCUCCCUCCGCCUGUGUUUAAAAAGGGCAGGAAAUUGGUCCGGGCGAGUAUUCAGGAGGUGAAGAGAGCCUUCCUCGAUGUUAAGCCCGUCGGCGCUAACAUGGUGGAAUACUUGCAGCAGGCAGAAUCGCCUACCCAUUUGUGCUGCUGCUCACAGAGCCUCUUGUUCUAUGUAUAUAUCACUCUCUCAUAGCUGUCCCCUCACCCGUUCUUAAAAUGUUAUUUUUUUUGUACAUAAUUUGUUCAUAUGUGAAGGAAAUGUUGUGAGUUGUUAUAUUUGUAUGUUCUGGAAAUGUUGAAUUUUAAUAAAUAUUUUAUUGUUACAUUGGUGUCAUUAUCAUUGUAAUAUAUUAUUAAUAGUAUUAGCAUACAAUAAAAAUAAAUAAAUAAUAAUUAAAAUAUAUAUAUAAAUAUAUAUGGUAUAUUGGCAACCCAACUUGCUGGGUUGAAAUAACCCAGCCGUGUAGUUAAUAUGAACCCAGCGUUGGGUCAUUUGAACAACCCAAUGUACAACCCAAUUGUUGGGUUAA